rnacentral:rRNA from 1 species
AUUGAACGCUGGCGGCAGGCCUAACACAUGCAAGUCGAGCGGAUGAAGGGAGCUUGCUCCUGGAUUCAGCGGCGGACGGGUGAGUAAUGCCUAGGAAUCUGCCUGGUCGUGGGGGAUAACGUCCGGAAACGGGCGCUAAUACCGCAUACGUCCUGAGGGAGAAAGUGGGGGAUCUUCGGACCUCACGCUAUCAGAUGAGCCUAGGUCGGAUUAGCUAGUUGGUGGGGUAAAGGCCUACCAAGGCGACGAUCCGUAACUGGUCUGAGAGGAUGAUCAGUCACACUGGGACUGAGACACGGUCCAGACUCCUACGGGAGGCAGCAGUGGGGAAUAUUGGACGAUGGGCGAAAGCCUGAUCCAGCCAUGCCGCGUGUGUGAAGAAGGUCUUCGGAUUGUAAAGCACUUUAAGUUGGGAGGAAGGGCAGUAAGUUAAUACCUUGCUGUUUUGACGUUACCAACAGAAUAAGCACCGGCUAACUUCGUG